CAUCUGCCAGCAGAAAUCCCUUUCAUAACGGUUUGUAAACCUUACAGGAUUCUGCAAUAAUUGCCCGAUGGUGACUUCACACAGAGAAACGGUCUGGAACUUGCUCUGAAAUUUAAUUCUGUGGCCCACCAAAAAUUUUAUCACAUUUGUAUUUUUUAAUUCAACUGUCUUACACUUCUGGUGCUUCCUCAUUUAUUCUGCAUUACCCAUGAGAAAAUCAGGACUGAUG